rnacentral:rRNA from 1 species
GACGUAGGGUGCGAGCGUUGUCCGGAUUUACUGGGCGUAAAGGGCGCGUAGGCGGCGGGUCAAGUCGAGUGUGAAAGCCCCGGGCUCAACCUGGGAAUUGCGCUCGAGACUGGUCUGCUUGAGUUCGGGAGAGGAGCGUGGAAUUCCCAGUGUAGAGGUGAAAUUCGUAGAUAUUGGGAAGAACACCGGUGGCGAAGGCGGCGCUCUGGACCGAGACUGACGCUGAGGCGCGAAGGCGUGGGGAGCAAACAGG